AUUGAACGCUGGCGGCAUGCCUUACACAUGCAAGUCGAACUGUAACAGGUUAAGCUGACGAGUAGCGAUCGGGUGAGUAAUGUAUCGGAACGUGCCCAGUCGUGGGGGAUAACUGCUCGAAACAGCAGUUAAUACCGCAUACGACCUGAGGGUGAAAGCGGGGGAUCGCAAGUCCUCGCGCAAUUCGUCCCGCCGAUAUCAGAUUAGGUAGUUGGUGAGGUAAAGGCUCACCAAGCCGACGAUCUGUACCUGGUCUGAGAGGACGACCAGCCACACUGGGACUGAGACAAGGCAAAGACGCCUACGAGAGGCAGCAGUGGGGAAUUUUGGACAAUAGGCGCAAGCAUGAUCCAGUCAAGCCGCGUGAGGGAAGAAGGCAUUCAGGAUGUAAACCGCUUUUGUAAGAGAAGAAAAGGUACUGGCGAAUACCUGGGAAUCAUGAAGGUACCUGAAGAAUAAGCACAGGCUAACUACGUG
rnacentral:rRNA from 1 species